CGAUGUGGUUUGAAGUCACCUACCCCCGUUCAAAUCAGAAACGGCUGGUUUUUCCCAUUACCAUUCUUGUGGCCAAGAACAGCUGAAUGCAGCACCCCUGUUCUCCAAACCCAAAACCUCAUCUUCUCUCUCUCUCUCUCUCUUUCUCUCUCUCUCUCUCUCUCUCUCUCUCUCUUUAUUCCCACCCAAAAUCCACCUCAACUCCAUUUUACUCUCUUUGUCACCAAUCCCAUUAAGCUUGAAGAACCUUCCAAACAAAGCACCCAGAAAUCAAAUGCAAAAAACCCAAAAGGCACAAUCCCCAGGAAGCAUCAAAUUUGCCAUCUUUGCUUCUUGCAUGUAACUGCUCUGCUGUUGAUCAAGCAUAAUGGCGCCACGUGGUACCCUUUAUACUGGCUCUGUUCACAAUGCAGGGAUUGUGUUCCAGAAAUUGCCCCAAAGAAAUUGUGAUCAGUGGAGCUUCCAUACCUAGAGAGGCAACCUUCUGCCCAGCCACACAGGCUAAGACUCCAACAUGCUAACGUGCAUGUCCCCAUUCUUUCCAUUGGACAACCACGCAUUCAUGAGCGUGGACCCGUGGUCAGGAGGCCCGUGCACUGUGGUUGUUGUGGCCAAACGGGACAUAACAUUCGGACCUACAAUGCGAACUGCUCUCAUGAUCGUUGGCUCAUGGCCAGUACACUGCAGACGAUGUACCCAAACAGGACACAACCGUUGCACCUGCAGUCAGAAAAGAUGAAGCUGGAAUCAUCAAAGAAUGCAAAUAAGCCAAUUUGGAAACCCAUAAUUGCAUAAUGGCUACUUGGGUCUGAAACAAUACAUCAUGGUUUUGGUAAGAGGAAGAAAUGGAAGAGUAUGUUGUAUCAAUCUCAGUUAGUUUGAACUUGCGCACUGUUGUUAAGCCCCACGCCUGGUUCCAUUUAUUAGAAAUAAAUACGCAACGGGAAGACAUAAAACCUGAACCCUGUGCCAUACAAAGAAAACAAGGUAGGGAAAUCAGCCAAGACUGCUCCCAAACAACAAAAUACAGAAAUCAAGAACCAGUGCUACCGAAACCCAAGAAUGGGAACAACUGUAUAUGCCAUUGAAGAUAUGUUCCUCUAUCUCAAUGGCGAAACAGAAAGCGACUACUCUCGGGAGGAACCCUGCAGAAUACAUUAUAGGGACAUUCAUUCUACUUUAGCCCAUCAUCCUGGGGUCUUCCAGAGGAUGUGCUUAACAAACGCUGCAGUUGUGGUAGAAUUGGCAUGUUAGCAUGUUUUUCGGGUCAAUUUCACAAAUGAGUAUGUGCUGUUCAUACCUGCAGUCAGAACAACACUCAUGAGUGUCAGCUCAUGGCCAGAAGGAGGCCAAUACACUGCAGAUGAUGUGGCCAAAUAGGACACAACCGUUGCACCUGCAGUUAGAACAGGUUGUGAAAUUUUUUUUUUUGGGCAAUUAGAACGGGUCUUGAUGGAAUGAACUUGUCUUGGAGCUUGUUGUAGUGUUGUACCAUGUUUAUGUCCCAGCUUCUGUUUUCCAAACCUUAAACUUCUAGUCUUAU